GACGUCCAUUUUUAAAAUUGCUGCUGCAUUUUGCCCCCCUCAAUGCUGGCUGUGCCAAAGAUGGACCACAUAAAGCGAGUGACCUGUGUUCGAAGUUUCGUCUCUUAAUAGAUAAAAUUUCCUGUUAGGGUCGCACAAUU
rnacentral:snoRNA from 1 species